rnacentral:rRNA from 1 species
GGCGAACGCUGGCGGCGUGCUUAACACAUGCAAGUCGAACGGUGAAGCGCCUUCCUUUUUGGUGAGUGUGGAUGAGUGGCGAACGGGUGAGUAACACGUGAGUAACCUGCCCCCUUCUUCUGGAUAACCGCAUGAAAGUGUGGCUAAUACGGGAUAUUCUGGGUCUGUCGCAUGAUGGGUCUGGGAAAGAUAUUGUUUCGGUGGGGGAUGGGCUCGCGGCCUAUCAGCUUGUUGGUGGGGUGAUGGCCUACCAAGGCGGUGACGGGUAGCCGGCCUGAGAGGGUGGACGGUCACACUGGGACUGAGACACGGCCCAGACUCCUACGGGAGGCAGCAGUGGGGAAUAUUGCACAAUGGGCGCAAGCCUGAUGCAGCGACGCCGCGUGAGGGAUGGAGGCCUUCGGGUUGUGAACCUCUUUCGCCAGUGAAGCAGGCCUGCCUCGUUUGUGGGUGGGUUGACGGUAGCUGGAGAAGAAGCGCCGGCUAACUACGUG